UCAAUAUCGUGUUGCUUUGGUUCCCGCGGUUUGCGCCGUGGGCGAAGAGGGAAGCCGGUGAGAGUCCGGCACUGCCCCCGCAACUGUCAGCGGCAAGCCGCGGCCCCGUGAUCCACUGGCGCAAGACGCCGGGAAGGAGGGCCAGGGCGUCCGAGCCGCGAAGUCAGGAGACCUGCCAGAGCGGACCGAACGAC
rnacentral:ncRNA from 1 species